UAUACAGUUCUGUCUUGUACUCAGAUGCCCAUACCAAAGCAAUUACUGUAUGGGAGAUGCCGACUGGCUGGAAGAACCUGCUCAUUCUGGAUCUGUAAUGGAGUCUGCGAGGAGCUCAGCUUCUUGGUGUGGAAGAAGGCAGUGGUCUGAUCUUUAGCAUCCUCCUGUCCUGGUAGAUUAUGUCAUGAACAGCUCUCCUUGGGGUCGUUUGUGAAGAGAUAUCUUGGAGGAUAGUAUCAUCACCGGUUGGGGACUAGCGUGGCUGCCUAAAUUGUCCAUCCUAGUGUUUGUCAAGAAAGGAUGGAGGACCAGGGAAAUGUGGUCAAAUGGGGGUGAGAACUGAGGAGGCGGCCAAAUGCACCCCAAAAGCAAAAGAGGGUGAGGGAAGAUGACACUUCUCCAGAUGCCUCCAGGAGCCAAACCACAGCAGCUCCUUCCUAGUUGCCACCAACCUCAUGGAUGUCCAACCUUACAUGUGGAUGGAGCAAUGGAUGAGGUGCUGGAUGCUCAGCGCUUUUCCCUUUCCUAUGGCUGAAUGUCGGCUGAUGCUGUUUGCUAAACAAGAGUGCCGGUGGCAGAGGAAUUAGAAGAAAUCCCUUCUUAAUUGGAAACAGUGAGUUUGUGUAUUUUUUCAGUUGUCUAUUUUGGGCCUUGUAAAAUUAAAGUUAUUAACUGUAAUGCAGCGGUUUCCAGAUUCCCACAGCCCUUUACAAUAGUGGGGAAAUUCAUCCCAGGUCACUGGGAGCCUUUAAUGAAUACAUUAAGACUUAUUAUUAAAAUAAAGUGCUUGCAGCUUUAUGGGAGACAUCUGGCGAGGAUGUGCGUCUCCUGCAGGCAGCGCAGCUCUGGGUGUCUCCUCCCAGUGUGCCCCAUGGUGCUGUGGGCUCACUGCCACUGUGCCCACAUGUGGGUUGGGGACAACGAGGGGACCUCAAGAGGUGCUGGAAAGCAUCAGGGCUGGGUCAUGGAAUCAUUUAGGUUGUAAAAAGACCACUGAGAUCACUUAGUCCAACCAUCAACCCAUCACAAUCAUGCCCACUAGCUGUGUCCCUUAGGUCCUGUGCCUGCAGGAUGCUCUGCACAGGGGAUGCUGUUGACCAACAUCUUCAUGGGGUAGGCUUGGGCUGAGUGCAGGAGCUGCCCUGGGUGCAGGCAGGUGGGUGUUCAGCCAGAUGUUGGCCCAGCAGUGCUGAGGUUUUGUGGAGCUCGGGGCAGCAGGGACCCUGCAGUCCCAGUGUGCCCAUAGGACAGGCUCAGCUUGUGUCUCUAUGAGCAGCGUGGUUGGCAGCAGCAGGCAGUUUUAUCACUGCUUUAUCUCUAUCCAGGCUUGAUCUGUGCAGAAAGCAGAGCCACGUGGCGGUAAUUGCAUUAGGAAAACAAACUAAUCUCUGAAGGGACAGAGAACAGCUGUUGGGCUAUUGGGGGAGAUGGAAGUGGCCUGCCAGCCUGCAGAGCUGGGGGAAUAAAGUGGGUUUUGGGCACAAGAUUGAUAGAAUGGGGGAGAGCCAGGCCUGACUCACUUCUGAGUUUCUUUGGUUGUGUUGAUUUGGGGCACGAAGCACCAGGAGGUGGACACCCUGAAAUGGGGACUGCCAAGCCCUGGCUGUGAGCACCUUUGGCCAAUGGAAAUGAGAAAGUUGCACCAGUCAGGAAGGCUGAAUCCAGAGCUGAGUGCCUGGCCAGGUCCCAAAGCAAACAUCACUGUUGUUUCUGGAUUAUGUAGUUUAACAGAAAAGAAAAUCCUAUCGCUAAUACUACAAGAUACACGCCUGUGUCCUGUAUUCACUCUGUCCUAUGAACUUUAUUAAGGCUCGUGUAGAGAGGGAUUAUAAGAAAGAAAUAAGGCCAGAAUUAUGCAGCUCCCAAAAGUUUUCCUAAGAAUAAACUUUUUGCUAUGUUCUUCCACAGCAGUUAAUUAUGGCUUCUAUUAAAUGCUGACAGGCAC
rnacentral:lncRNA from 1 species